GUUAGGAAUCUUCCACAAUGGGGGCAACCCUGAUGGAGCAACACCGCGUGCUGGAUGAAGGCCUUCGGGUCGUAAACAGCUUUUGUAUACGAAGAAUAUGACGGUAAUAUACGAAUAAGGGUCGGCUAACUACGUGCCAGCAGCCGCGGUCAUACGUAGGACCCAAGCGUUAUCCGGAGUGACUGGGCGUAAAGAGUUGCGUAGGCGGCUUAUUAAGCGAGUAGUGAAAUCUGGUGGCUCAACCAUCAACACAUUGCUCGAACUGAUAGGCUUGAGAAUGGUAGAGGUAGUUGGAAUGUCUUGUGUAGGAGUGAAAUCCGUAGAUAUAAGAAGGAACACCAAUGGCGUAGGCAGACUACUGGACCAUUUCUGACGCUGAGGCACGAAAGCGUGGGGAGCGAACCGGAUUAGAUACCCGGGUAGUCC
rnacentral:rRNA from 1 species